UCUUCAAGAAAACAAAAGAAACUAAAUCUUACCAGCUGAGUAGGUUAUUUUUUCAGACUAGGAGCUUGUAUGCCACAGUGCUUCGGGUAAGUUACAACAGCCAUAAUGUCUUAAAAAUUUAGGCAUUGAGCGAAAAGAUGAUCACAAAAAAGUGUACACAUGGAUGCCAUAUGGGCUGUUCAUUUGGCGGUUGCCUUUUCAUGCUACCUAAUGUGUCUUUAGUUAAGCACAAGCUUGUUCAGCCACAAGACCUCUUAAGAUAACUUGUUCUUGGGCUAGUUGGUUGAUACUUACUGAAGCCAUUGUAGCAUAUUGUAGCCAUUGCAUUCCAAUGGCUUCACCAAAUCAUCUUGCAGUGAAGGUUCCUUUGCAUGGCUCAUAUGUUUUGCAAUAAUUCUGCAAAGUUAGGCGAUUGUGCAUUGAAAGUGGUUGUAAUGCUGUCAAAUUCUUCUUCACCUUAAUCCUUUCAGGCAACCACCAAUUACACAUAGCUUCGACUAAAUAUUGCCAAAAAGUGCAAGGAUCGGGAACAUGUCGGGUGGUCUACUUCGCAGUUCACACAGUGGGAUGUGCCAGAACUGUUAUCGGAGGGGUGACCUUUAUCACCACAUUUUGUGCAGCACCAAAGCAUGGCCAGAAACUGAGUGAAGACACGGCCGACAGCAUCGAAAUUGGAUGCGAAAUUUUCUGCAGCUGGCGGAAAUUUUGCUUGUCGCCCGGAAGUCUGCGCUGCAGCCUGCCAUUAAUGUGUAACUGCAUAACAACAGCAACUAGUAUGCCUGCCUCAAUCUGAAUUUGCUCUUGCUACUUGCUCUCCUUUGUGACAGCA